rnacentral:rRNA from 1 species
AGAGUUUGAGUCCUGGCUCAGAGUGAACGCUGGCGGUAGGCCGUAAACACAUAGCAAGUCGAACGGCAGCGCAGAGGAGCUUGCUCCUUGGGUGGCGAGUGGCGGACGGGUGAGGAUACAUCGGAAUCUACUUUUCGUGGGGGAUAACGUAGGGAACUUACGCUAAUACCGCAUACGACUACGGGUGAAAGCAGGGGAUCUUCGGACCUUGCGCGAUUGAAUGAGCCGAUGUCGGAUUAGCUAGUUGGCGGGGUAAAGGCCCACCAAGGCGACGAUCCGUAGCUGGUCUGAGAGGAUGAUCAGCCACACUGGAACUGAGACACGGUCCAGACUCCUACGGGAGGCAGCAGUGGGGAAUAUUGGACAAUGGGCGCAAGCCUGAUCCAGCCAUACCGCGUGGGUGAAGAAGGCCUUCGGGUUGUAAAGCCCUUUUGUUGGGAAAGAAAUCCAGCCGGCUAAUAUCUGGUUGGGAUGACGGUACCCAAAGAAUAAGCACCGGCUAACUUCGUG